GUGGGUGUAGCUCAGUUGGUAGAGCUCCUGGUUGUGGCCCAGGUGGCCGUGGGUUCAAGUCCCAUCACUCACCCCA
rnacentral:tRNA from 1 species